rfam:Parcubacteria bacterium GW2011_GWC1_43_30 TV94_C0001, whole genome shotgun sequence.
GCCUUUGUAGCUCAACGGCUAGAGCGCACCCUCGAAACGGGUGAGACGGAAGUUCAACUCUUCUCAAAGGCA